rnacentral:rRNA from 1 species
GUGAACGCUGGCGGUAGGCCUAACCCAUGCAAGUCGAACGGCAGCACAGUAAGAGCUUGCUCUUACGGGUGGCGAGUGGCGGACGGGUGAGGAAUACAUCGGAAUCUACUUUUUCGUGGGGGAUAACGUAGGGAAACUUACGCUAAUACCGCAUACGACCUACGGGUGAAAGCAGGGGAUCUUCGGACCUUGCGCGAUUGAAUGAGCCGAUGUCGGAUUAGCUAGUUGGCGGGGUAAAGGCCCACCAAGGCGACGAUCCGUAGCUGGUCUGAGAGGAUGAUCAGCCACACUGGAACUGAGACACGGCCCAGACUCCUACGGGAGGCAGCAGUGGGGAAUAUUGGACAAUGGGCGCAAGCCUGAUCCAGCCAUACCGCGUGGGUGGAGAAGGCCUUCGGGUUGUAAAGCCCUUUUGUUGGGAAAGAAAAGCAGCAGGUUAAUACCCCGCUGUUCUGACGGUACCCAAAGAAUAAGCACCGGCUAACUUCGUG